rnacentral:lncRNA from 1 species
UAAACUAGUAACGUGAUACUGAAAAUCCUAUAAACUCUCAUUUUUCAUGCAGCUAGAGGACAUGCAUGAUUGGGUGUCCACGUCAACCCUUCAUAGUGAUGGGACCAAAGGGUGCAAAAUAAUUAUUGAUAUUGAAUUUGCGCAUAUCAAAGGUUGGAGUCACCUUUGAAUUGAAAGUGAUUCGUAGAUAACUAUUUCAAAAUCUCAUGAUUUGGUUCCUUGGGACCUUCCCAAUUGUUGGAACAAUUGCUUUGCCUCUCCUUUACGUCUCCUCUUCUCC